rnacentral:tRNA from 1 species
GGGGGUAUACCUCAGUGGUAGAGCAUUUGACUGCAGAUCAAGAGGUCCCUGGUUCAAAUUUGGGUGCCCCCU